GACGAACCGUGCGAACGUUGUUCGGAUUCACUGGGCUUAAAGGGCGCGUAGGCGGACAAUCAAGUCAGGGGUGAAAGCCUCCAGCUCAACUGGAGAAGUGCCUUUGAUACUGACUGUCUCGAGGGAGGUAGGGGCAUGUGGAACUUCCGGUGGAGCGGUGAAAUGCGUAGAUAUCGGAAGGAACGCCGGUGGCGAAAGCGACGUGCUGGACCUCUUCUGACGCUGAGGCGCGAAAGCUAGGGGAGCAAACGGG
rnacentral:rRNA from 1 species